AAUAACCAAAUAUGAUACUCGGCCUAAGGGUCAACUUGAUAAUUUUCUUAUAUCUCCCCCUCCCGAAGUCCAGGUAUCAUAUAUGCCCCCAAAAUAAAGAGCAUUGAAUACUAGAAGAAAUA
rnacentral:ncRNA from 1 species